rnacentral:rRNA from 1 species
CACGUAGGGCGCAAGCGUUGUCCGGAAUUAUUGGGCGUAAAGAGUUCGUAGGCGGUCUGUCGCGUCUGCUGUGAAAACUCGGGGCUUAACCCCGGGCCUGCAGUGGGUACGGGCAGACUAGAGUGCGGUAGGGGAGACUGGAAUUCCUGGUGUAGCGGUGAAAUGCGCAGAUAUCUGGAGGAACACCGGUGGCGAAGGCGGCAUUCUGGACCGACAUUGACGCUGAGGAGCGAAAGCCAGGGGAGCAAACGGG